rnacentral:tRNA from 1 species
GGAGAUGUAACUCAGUGGUAGAGGGCUUGCCUGGCAUGCCCAGCUCCUGGGUUCAAUCCCCAGUAUAUCCA